rnacentral:rRNA from 1 species
UGUCGGUGUUUUAUCUAUUUGGGACCCACCUGAUACCAUUCCGAACUCAGAAGUGAAACCAUUUAGACCUGAUGAUAGUCGUAUAGGCGAAAGUAGGGUACGCCGGCAU